AUGACUAGAUAGCUUGACCCCAACAAUGUCGUGGACACUCUCGAUGGAAUGCCUUUGACAUGAUCAAAGAUCAAGGACCUAACCAUUAGACAUCUAUGAUGCCUCAGGUCAAAGGACUACUUUGCAUAUUGCAACUAACGAGUUCUUACAUGACAUGUAUGUUCGAACUCUCUUUUGAUCGUUGUUCAGUGUACUUGAUUACUCUUUCAAGCACCUAUGUGUUUGUCUUAGUGUCCAACACUAAAUGACUUGAGACUAGUCAUACUCACGCUUGAGUUGACAUAACACAUACUAACCUUAGCGGAUUGUCAAUGCCCAAUUGGCAAUCCUAUGGCUAGGAACGUUUUAGGAAUGAACAUAAGAGAAAGGUCUCGUUAAUCUAACUUACUUAAAUCACUUCUCUCUUAGAUCAAAUACAUUCCUUGGAUUCCAUUAUUGCUUAAACACAUGAUACAAUAAAUAGUGAUUAACAAUAAGUUUUGCCCUUCAUUAAACAUAUAAUAGUUUAAUACAAUAAGUAUUCCAAAAGCUAUUACAUCAAAUGAGUAGCUUUGUGGGCAUACUUCCAACAAUCUCCCACUUGCACUCAAAGCCACCUUCCCAUGUAUCUAAUACACAUCUUUUCCAUAUGGCGGUCAAGUUGGAUUUGAGACAUUGGCUUUGUCAGUGGAUCUGCUACGUUAUCAGCUGAGGCAACCUUGAGGAUGUUGACUUUCCCCUCGGCAGCAUAUCUUCUAAUGAUAUUAAAGCGCCUGUCAAAAUGCUUGUUCUUUUGAUAAGCCCUGGGGUCCUUGGCUUGAGCUAUCGCCCCACUAUUAUCACAGUACAAAGUUACUGGUGAUGGAAUGGUUGGAACCACUCCAAGUUCAGUAAUGAACUUCUUCAUCCAGAACGUUUUUUUGCCGGCUUCAGCUGUAACGACAUAUUCAGCCUCUGUCGUGGAAUCAGUAAUUACAUCUUGUUUCUUGCUUUUCCAGCUGACAGCCCCACCAUUUAGAGUGAAUACGUAUCCGGAGUUGGAACUUCUAUCAUUGACGUCAGAUUGGAAAUCUGCGUCUGUAUAGGCUUCUACUCGCAACUCUGUUGCUCCUCCAUAAACGAGGAACAUGUCCUUAGUUCUUCUUAAGUACUUAAGGACCGUCUUGACAGCUGCCCAGUGUUCUGAUCCUGGGUUAGAUUGAUAUUGACUAGUAAUGCUCACAGCAUACGCGAUAUCAAGCCUUGUACAUAUCAUGGCAUACAUGAGACUUCCUAUGGCGGAAGCAUAAGGAAUAGCACUCAUCUGCCGUAUCUCUUCAGGAGUCUUAGGUCCCAUUGACUUAGAAAGGUGAAUUCCAUGUCUCACAGGAAGAAGACCUUUCUUAGAUUGUUCCAUCUGGAACCUACUUAGCACCUUAUCUAUGUACAUAGAUUGGGAUAAUCCAAUUAAUUUUCUGGAUCUAUCACGAUAGAGCUUUAUCCGAAGUACAAAAGAUGCAUCUCCCAAAUCUUUCAUGUGGAAGGUUUUGGACAACCACACUUUUACAGAAGAAAGUAUUGCAGUGUCAUUCCCGAAUAGUAAUAUGUCAUCUACAUAUAACACUAGGAAUACAACUACAUCCCCAACGACCUUUUGAUAAACAUAAUUGUCGUCUUCAUUUUGAGUAAAACCAAACGUUUUGAUUUCAGUAUCAAAACGAAUGUUCCAGCUCCUAGAGGCUUGCUUAAGUCCAUAAAUGGACCUUUGAAGCUUGCAUAGCUUAAUCCUUUCAGACUUGGACACGAAACCUUCGGGUUGAGUCAUAUAGAGCUAUUCCUCUAGGUAGCCGUUCAGAAAGGCCGUAUUCACGUCCAUUUGCCAUAUCUCAUAAUCAUGGUACGCAGCUAUAACAAGCAAAAUCCGAAUGGACUUAAUCAUGGCUACAAGAGAGAAGGUUUCUUCAUAGUCAAUCCCUUCUCUUUGCCUGUAACCCUUGGCUACGAGUCUAGCCUUAUAAGUCUCUACGUUCCCUUCAGCGCCUAUCUUCCUCUUGAAGACCCAUUUGUUUCCAACAGGUACUAUACCUUCUAGAGGGUCUACAAGAGUCCAGACCUAAUUUUGAUACAUGGAAUCCAUCUCGGAUUUCAUGGCCUCUUGCCAUCUCUUUGAAUCAAUGUCGGACAUUGCUUCAGUGUAGUCUCUAGGGUCUUCCUUUUUGUGUCAUUGUCACCUAGAAGGUGCAAUUCCCCAAAGUCAUUAUCUAAGCCAUACCUCUUAGGUGGCUUGCUAACCCUUUCAAAUCUACGUGGAGCUAGGGGUUCAGGAACAGGGUUGUCAACUUGUCGAGUGCUUGUUUGUGGUUCAUCAUUAAUCUCAUUAAUUUCCAUCGUUUUACUUAUAGUUCCUUUGAGAACAAAUUCGUCCUUUAGAAACUUAGCAGUUAUGGCGACAAAAACCUUUUGGUCGUCAGGAUGGUAGAACUCAUAUCCCAUAGUUUCUCUAGGAUAUCCCAUAAAAUAGCACCUAACUGAUCUCACUUCAAGCUUAGUAGCUUCAAGCUUCUUGACAUAUGCUUCACAACCCCAAAUCUUAAUGUGAUUAAGACUUGGCUUUCUUCCAUGCCAUAUCUCAUAGGGCGUCUGUGAAACUGACUUGGAAGGUACUCUAUUAAGCAAGUAAGCUACUGUAUAUAAAGCGUAUCCCCAGAAUGUUACUGGUAGAUCUGCGGAACUCAACAUAGAACGAACCAUGUUCAUCAAGGUUCGAUUUCUCCUUUCAGAAACUCCAUUAAGUUGUGGAGUUCCCGGUGGAGUCCACUGUGAUAUUAUUCCACUCUUUGAGAUAAUCUAGGAACUCGCUACUUAGAUACUCCCCCCCUCGAUCUGAUCUUAGGAUCUUUAUCUGUUUCCCAGUUUGCUUCUCAACUUCAUUCUUGAAUUCUUUGAACCUUUCAAAGGAUUCUGACUUGUACUUCAUAAGAUACACAUAGCCAAACCGAGAGUGAUCGUCGGUGAAUGUGAUGUAGUAGGAGAAGCCUCCUCUCGACGUAGUAGACAUAGGUCCACAUACGUCAAUGUGGAUUAACCCUAGAAUUUCAGUGGCACGCUCUCCUUUCCCAGUGAAUGGAGAUUUGGUCAUCUUCCCUUGAGUGAUAGUUUGUAUCAUGUCUACUAUCCAAUGUGAUACUUCUCUAUAUGAUUCAAUUGAAUAUGAUUUGGAACAUACUUCCUAAGUCAUAUUCGUAUGCUUUGGCCAAAGACUCCCAAAUCAUAUCUUAGAGUAUUCUCCUUCCACCAUGGAAGGUUAGAGAUCCCUUGUUGUGCAUUCAUAUGCCUACAUGACUAGAUAGCUUGACCCCAACAAUGUCGUGGACACUUUCGAUGGAAUGCCUUUGACAUGAUCAAAGAUCAAGGACCUAACCAUUAGACAUCUAUGAUGCCUCAGGUCAAAGGACUACUUUGCAUAUUGCAACUAACGAGUUCUUACAUAACAUGUAUGUUCGAACUCUCUUUUGAUCGUUGUUCAGUGUACUCGAUUACUCUUUCAAGCACCUAUGUGUUUGUCUUAGUGUCCAACACUAAAUGACUUGAGACUAGUCAUACUCACGCUUGAGUUGACAUAACACAUGCUAACCUUAGCGGAUUGUCAAUGCCCAAUUGGCAAUCCUAUGGCUAGGAACGUUUUAGGAAUGAAC
rnacentral:lncRNA from 1 species